rnacentral:rRNA from 1 species
UACGUAGGGGGCGAGCGUUGUCCGGAUUUAUUGGGCGUAAAGAGCUCGUAGGCGGUUUGGUAAGUUGGAUGCGAAAUCUCCAGGCUCAACUUGGAGGGGUCAUUCGAUACUGCCAUGACUAGAGUUCGGUAGGGGAGUGUGGAAUUCCUGGUGGAGCGGUGAAAUGCGCAGAUAUCAGGAGGAACACCCGUAGCGAAGGCGGCACUCUGGGCCGGAACUGACGCUGAGGAGCGAAAGCGUGGGGAGCGAACAGG